GACAGGUAAACAAGUAAACAAGGAAGAAGAGUAGAAGUGUUCAGAAUGUCCCCCUCAGAAGAGGGGACUCCAUGGUGCUACCCAGGAGUGCUGAGACUCAUCUCCGGCUUCUUUCUCUUCAAAACCUCUGCUGACCUCCCUUCCAGCUCCUCUGGGCUUUUAGGGUAACCCAUGUUCCAACCUACUUGCACCACCACACAGUCUAUAUUAUCUCCAGCUCCCCCCGAGACCAUGUCCUCUCAGGAAAUGGGAUCAACUGUCUUCUACCCAUAUUACUAGCAAUUUGCUCAAUGCUUGGCACAGAGCAGGUGCUCAAGAAACUGGGCAGACGAAUAACACACGAAUGAAGAAAAAUGAAUUUAUAAAGCCAGAUCUGGUUCAUAUGUCAUUUGCUGUCAUGGCAACCUAGGAUAAGUCUAUUUGUUACUCUUGGGACUAUUUUAAUCAUCUGUUUUUCACUGUAUGUGCAAGUGUUAACUCUGUUAAAAAGGUAAACUGAGGCACAAUAAAGUUUUAAAGAGAC